rnacentral:rRNA from 1 species
CCUACGGGGGGCGGCAGUGGGGAAUAUUGCACAAUGGGGGAAACCCUGAUGCAGCAACGCCGCGUGAGCGAUGAAGGCCUUCGGGUCGUAAAGCUCUGUCCUAAGGGAAGAAUAUUGACGGUACCUUAGGAGGAAGCCCCGGCUAACUACGUGCCAGCAGCCGCGGAUAUACGUAGGGGGCUAGCGUUAUCCGGAAUUACUGGGCGGAAAGGAUGCGUAGGCGGACCUUCAAGUCUGAGGAGAAAUGCUACGGCUCAACCGUAGUAAGCCUUUGAAACUGUAGGGCGUGAGGGCAGGAGAGGAGAGUGGAAUUCCCAGUGUAGCGGUGAAAUGCGGAGAUGUUGGGAGGAACACCAGUGGCGAAGGCGGCUCUCUGGACUGUAACUGACGCUGGGGCACGAAAGCGUGGGGAGCGAACAGGAUUAGAUACCCUUGUAGUC